AACGAACGCUGGCGGCAUGCCUAACACAUGCAAGUCGAACGAGACCUUCGGGUCUAGUGGCGCACGGGUGCGUAACGCGUUGUAACCUUCCCUUAUGUUCGGAAUAACUCCCCGAAAGGGGUGCUAAUACCGGAUAAUGUCUUCUGACCAAAGAUUUAUCGCCUUUGGUUGGUCCCGCGUUGGAUUAGCUAGUUGGUAGGGUAAAAGCCUACCAAGGCGACGAUCGAUAGCUGGUCUGAGAGGAUGAUCAGCCACACUGGGACUGAGACACGGCCCAGACUAGGACGGGAGGGAGCAGUGGGGAAUAUAGGAAAAUGGGCGAAAGCAUGAAAAAGCAAUGCCGCGUGAGUGAUGAAGGGAUUAGGGAUGUAAAGCUCUUUUAAAAGGGAUGAUAAUGACAGUACCGGGAGAAUAAGCACCGGCUAACUACGUG
rnacentral:rRNA from 1 species